rnacentral:tRNA from 1 species
CCCUGAUAGCUCAGUUGAAAAAGAAUCUGCCUGCAAUGCAGGAGACCCUGGUUCAAUUCCUGGAUCAGGAA